UAGAGUGCUGUGGUGAAUGCCACCAAGUCCACGGGUCUGGCAACGAUAGGAAAAUGAAGAUGGAUUUCUUGGAGCCCAGCUAACGGCAAUGGUGAAGUGGACACCUUUCCCUUGGUUAAGAGAAAUCCAUGGUUUGUUGUGUUUGCUAAGAACAAAAAUGUUGGAAAUCCAGAUUAGCAGAGCUGUCACCAUUGACAUUUUUCACAUCAACCACAUCCGAAGGGCCAGGAUAUCUCUCUGUUGGUGAUCACAUCAGUUCUUCCCAGUGGAUUGUUCCAUAAUAAUUGCUGUGUGUGGGUAGCUGUGGUGAAUUAGCAUUGAACAGAGGGUAAGACAUUUUCCUCUUCCUCCCAUCCCGAUAAGCUAACUCCACCUUGCUACCCAGGCUGGUCUGCAAGGUUUAUUCCCACAAGACUUUUCCCUUGACAAAUUCACACUUGCUGUCUUUGAUUUUAAGCUCCAACAAUCACCUGAGACAUAUUGUUUCACUUCUGUAUCCCGCUUAAGUGCCUGUCUCAUAGUAAACUCCCAAUAAAUAGUCACAGAAAGGAGAGAGGAGGAGAAAAGGAUGAAAGGAAGAGAGGGAGGAAGGGUUCUAUGUUCUGUGUACAUUGUGGUCACACUGAAUACUGUGUGUAGCUCAAAUAGUCAUAGAUCUCUCCCUGUGUUGUUGGUUGACAUGUCCUGUUCUUAAGGUGACUAGAACAAACAACCUGCAACUAGGGAGCCAGUCACCAUUUCAAAGAUCAGAUUCCAACAAAUAUCUACCUGUCCGAUUCGCUGUUGCAUGCUCCAUAAAAUUUGGUGUUCAGAGCAUUUGAACUUUACUACCUCAGGCCACUUUUUAAUAAUUUUUCUUUAAAAGGAGUACAUCUGGGCUUCCCUGGUGGCACAGUGGUUGAGAGUCCGCCUGCCGAUGCAGGGGACACGGGUUCGUGGCCCGGUCUAGGAAGAUCCCACAUGCCGCGGAGCGGCUGGGCCCGUGAGCCAUGGCCACUGAGCCUGCGCGUCUGGAGCCUGUGCUCCGCAACGGGAGAGGCCACAACAGUGAGAGGCCCGCGUACCGCAAAAAAAAAAAAAAAAAGAGUACAUCUUUUUUGACUAUUGAACACUAGGGGACCUGCCCAUCUUAAUCCUACCACAGGAAGCCCACCUACACAUCUGGCAGCUGACAAGACAUAUUUCAAGAGGGCAAGAAGUUCCUGUCCAAGGUUACUUUGCUGAAAAAUAGAAUCGGAAAUAACAGGGGAAAGAUGGGACUCAGUGCCAUACCAGCAGCAGCUUCCAGCUCUUAUCACCCAUUCCUAGAUUACUGCAUCCAAGCUAUUCUGCCUCAGGCUGCUAUCCCUAACCAAUUCAUCCUACACAUCACUGCCAGAUUAAUAAUUCUAGACCAGGGCUUCCCUGGUGGCACAGUGGUUAAGAAUCUGCCUGCCAAUGCAGGGGACAUGGGUUCAAGCCCUGGUCCAGGAAGAUCCCACAUGCCACGGAGCAGCUAAGCCCAUGCACCACAACUACUGAGCCUGCGCUCUAGAGCCCACAAGCCACAAUUACUGAGCCUGCAAGCCACAACUACUGAACCCACGUGCCACAGUUACUGAAGCCUGCGUGCCUAGAGCCUGUGCUCUGCAACAAGAGAAGCCACCACAAUGAGAAGCCUGAACACCUCAACAGAGUAGCCCCCACUUGCCGCAACUAGAGAAAGCCCGCGUACAGCAAUGAAGACCCAACACAGCCAAAAAUAAAUAAAUUUUAAAAAAUAAAUAAAUAAUUCUAGACCAGAUCUUUGUGUUAACUCUGCUGCACAGAAAACCUCCAUGGUUUCCCAUCCACUAGCUACAAGUUAAAGUCCAAAUUCCUGAGUGAUCCAUAAUCUGGCCCCACUCAAUCUUCCAAAUUUUCUAGCCUUACCUUCUAACACUCCCUCACGGUGAGCUAGCUAAACUGAUUUUCUGAAAUCCUACAGAACUUACUGUCUAUAUUAUUUUUUCCUAUCAUUAAUCAAACAUAGUUUUCAGACAUCAGUUUUUAUCUGAUUUCUUUUGCUAG